UAACCUACCCAUCAGAAGGGGAUAACACUUGGAAACAGGUGCUAAUACCGCAUAACAGUUUAUGCCGCAUGGCAUAAGAGUGAAAGGCGCUUUCGGGUGUCGCUGAUGGAUGGACCCGCGGUGCAUUAGCUAGUUGGUGAGGUAACGGCUCACCAAGGCCACGAUGCAUAGCCGACCUGAGAGGGUGAUCGGCCACACUGGGACUGAGACACGGCCCAG
rnacentral:rRNA from 1 species